UUAUUAUUUAAAUAAUUUUUUAUUUUAAAAUACAUUUUAACCUUUUGUCUUCUUUUUGAAAAAAAACUUUGAAAGCUUACAACUUUCUCAGCUUCACCAUUUUUCCCCUCAGCCGAAAGGCUGAUAUUCUGGCCUACAACCGCCCCCCAAGAUCUGACCGCGACGAAUGGGACAAAGCCCACCGACGGUGCGAACGUGAUAUAAUUCCGGUUCAUGGGCGUGUACGUCUCUGACGUGGUGGGGUGGAGUGGCGCACGGUGCGGAGAUUCGCGCGUCGUACGGAACCUGGGGACUGCUUCGGUUGCAAACAGCAACUGCUUGCUGAAAUUUGUUCAUGCCUUGGCCUUGUAGUUUGGGUUUGUUUUUUUUUAUUUAAUUUUGUAUAUGUGUGGGCCUGGGCAUAAAUUGGGCUCAACACUCAUUUUAUAAAUUAAUAUUUUUAAUGGGCAUUUGGUUCCAAACAUGUAAGAUUAUCUUUAAUAAUAUGAUUAUUGAUAUGUAAGAUUAUUUAGCAUGUAAUCAAAUAUGUUAUAUUAUCCAA